rnacentral:rRNA from 1 species
GACGAACGCUGGCGGCGCGCCUAACACAUGCAAGUCGAACGAGCGAGAGAGAGCUUGCUUUCUCGAGCGAGUGGCGAACGGGUGAGUAACGCGUGAGGAACCUGCCUCAAAGAGGGGGACAACAGUUGGAAACGACUGCUAAUACCGCAUAAGCCCACGGCUCGGCAUCGAGCAGGGGGAAAAGGAGCAAUCCGCUUUGAGAUGGCCUCGCGUCCGAUUAGCUAGUUGGUGAGGUAACGGCCCACCAAGGCGACGAUCGGUAGCCGGACUGAGAGGUUGAACGGCCACAUUGGGACUGAGACACGGCCCAGACUCCUACGGGAGGCAGCAGUGGGGAAUAUUGCACAAUGGGGGAAACCCUGAUGCAGCGACGCCGCGUGGAGGAAGAAGGUCUUCGGAUUGUAAACUCCUGUUGUUGGGGAAGAUAAUGACGGUACCCAACAAGGAAGUGACGGCUAACUACGUGCCAGCAGCCGCGGUAAAACGUAGGUCACAAGCGUUGUCCGGAAUUACUGGGUGUAAAGGGAGCGCAGGCGGGAAGACAAGUUGGAAGUGAAAUCUAUGGGCUCAACCCAUAAACUGCUUUCAAAACUGUUUUUCUUGAGUAGUGCAGAGGUAGGCGGAAUUCCCGGUGUAGCGGUGGAAUGCGUAGAUAUCGGGAGGAACACCAGUGGCGAAGGCGGCCUACUGGGCACCAACUGACGCUGAGGCUCGAAAGUGUGGGUAGCAAACAGG